AGGGAGGAAAGAUGACACCUUCACGCGGUUCUCCCUGUCAGUACCAACUGGAGGUCCUCCGCAUCAGUACCAACGCAGUUGGGAAGCCAAGUCGUC
rnacentral:ribozyme from 1 species